rnacentral:ncRNA from 1 species
GUAAAUGCAAGGAUGAGGAAGAGUAGAAUAUUUUUUCUUACUACAGAGAGGAGACGGCUGGUGCGAGUCUCUAAGAAAAGUAUUCGAACGUAGCCUCUGAGCAGUAUCCCUGAAAAAAGAGUAAGGGAUAUCGGGAAACUUUCUCUCGUUAAAUUAAUGAAGUGCCGGUUUUGUGUACGGUAAAAAGGUGGUACCGCGGAAAAUACUCUUUUCGUCCUUUAU